UUACAACAUUCGUGUAGAAUUUCAUGCUGUUGAACAUUUUUUUUUGUGUAAACGGAUAAAUGAAAUAAAGAAACUGACACAUUCGAAUUCCAAGGCGUUUUGCAUUUGACCGUUAACUCAGGCUGUUAUAGCGCACAGGGUGUUCCAAAUGCAAACAUGUACGUUAACAGUGACAACAACAGCAGCGGCAGUUUACAGUGGCAGGAUAUGUCAAGGGCCGCUCACUUUCUAUCUCGCUGUCUCGCUCAAACGCUCUCUUGCUUUGAAUGUGUAACCAUAUACAUAGUGGUGUGUGCGUGUAUGUGUAUGAGUAUUGGAAGAAACAAACACGGAAUACAUUUUGUGUAUUUUCGGUGGUUGACGGAUGGGGGCGCGCCUUUUUUGCCCUUUUUUCGCGCGCGCAUCCACCGCCUGUAACCGAAAACUAUACGAAAACACGAAGUAACUGUAAGCCGAACCGGCCGAAGCCGGCACGAAGUCCUGCCCAAACGGCACACACACACACACACACACACACACAUGCACAACGAAGAAAACGAACGAAAUGGAAGGCAGCUAGCGACUAACAGAGCCAGCUAACAGACAGCAGUUGGUCGUCCGUUCUGUUCUCUGUGUGAGGUUGUAAAAAGGCGAAAACGUCACGAGAAAAACCGGUUAAUAAAUUAUUUGCCAAUUUAAUGAGUUAGCGGCCAUUUCGAAACUGCGCAAAAAAAAAAAAUAACAUCUAAUUGUAUUUAGAUGUGUACCACACUUCGAUAUACACAUUUGGACAUACAUUUGGCCAGCUCUGGAUCAGGAAAGCCCCAUGCAGUGGGCAUACAAUAUGCGUUGCCCAGAGGAUAGAGAAAAUGCAAUUAGCCAGGACAGCACACCCGGAAACUUUACAAAACAAAACAGGACCACAACAGAUGCAAAUAUUGAUCAUACUGAACAGAAUCGAACUGAUUGAUGACCGGCAAAGGAUUAAGACGUUUUCUUUGAAGGACAACGGAGGCACUAAAACCCAUAAACCUGAUUCAGACUUGCGCGCGCUUGCAAAUGUUGUUGUUCAAACAAUGCAAAAAAAAAAAAAAAA